CCUACGGGGGGCAGCAGUGAGGAAUAUUGGUCAAUGGGCGAGAGCCUGAACCAGCCAAGUCGCGUGAAGGAUGAAGGCCCUACGGGUUGUAAACUUCUUUUGUCAGGGAGCAAUUGGGUCCACGCGUGGGCUUAGCGAGAGUACCUGAAGAAAAAGCAUCGGCUAACUCCGUGCCAGCAGCCGCGGUAAUACGGAGGAUGCGAGCGUUAUCCGGAUUUAUUGGGUUUAAAGGGUGCGUAGGCGGAAUAUCAAGUCAGCGGUAAAAAUUCGGGGCUCAACCCCGUCGUGCCGUUGAAACUGGUGGUCUUGAGUGGGCGAGAAGUAUGCGGAAUGCGUGGUGUAGCGGUGAAAUGCAUAGAUAUCACGCAGAACUCCGAUUGCGAAGGCAGCAUACCGGCGCCCAACUGACGCUGAAGCACGAAAGUGUGGGUAUCGAACAGGAUUAGAUACCCCGGUAGUC
rnacentral:rRNA from 1 species